rnacentral:rRNA from 1 species
UACGAAGGGAGCUAGCGUUGUUCGGAAUCACUGGGCGUAAAGCGCACGUAGGCGGAUGUGUCAGUCAGGGGUGAAAUCCCGGAGCUCAACUUCGGAACUGCCUUUGAUACAGCACGUCUUGAGUCCGGAAGAGGUGGGUGGAACUGCGAGUGUAGAGGUGAAAUUCGUAGAUAUUCGCAAGAACACCAGUGGCGAAGGCGGCUCACUGGCCCGGUACUGACGCUGAGGUGCGAAAGCGUGGGGAGCAAACAGG